rnacentral:rRNA from 1 species
AGGACGAACGCUGGCGGCGUGCCUAACACAUGCAAGUCGAACGCUGUCCAUUCGGUGGCAACACUGAUGAAGACGGAGUGGCGAACGGGUGAGUAGCACGUGAGCAACCUGCCCCGAAGACCGGGACAACACCGGGAAACCGGUGCUAAUACCGGAUGCCCCCACCGGGCCGCAUGACCUGGUGAGGAAAUGGAUUCCGCUUCGGGAGGGGCUCGCGGCCUAUCAGCUUGUUGGUGGGGUAAUGGCCUACCAAGGCUUCGACGGGUAGCUGGUCUGAGAGGACGAUCAGCCACACUGGGACUGAGACACGGCCCAGACUCCUACGGGAGGCAGCAGUGGGGAAUCUUGCGCAAUGGGCGAAAGCCUGACGCAGCAACGCCGCGUGAGGGACGAAGGCUUUCUGAGUUGUAAACCUCUUUCAGCAGGAACGAUAGUGACGGUACCUGCAGAAGAAGCACCGGCCAACUACGUGCCAGCAGCCGCGGU